CUCGUGAUCCACCCGCCUCGGCCUCCCAAAGUCCUGGGAUUACAGGCGUGAGCCACUGCGCCCAGCCUAUCUUUUUUUAAUUUGUAAUUUUUAUUUCAAGAAUAGGGAAGAUAAGACUGGGAAAUACAUUGAUGGCAGAGAACUAGGGUUGGUGAUCCUCAGGAGAUGUCUUGUAUGGACUUGAGAGAGCUGAUUAUUGAAUGUUCCAGGAUUUGGCCAACUGUUAAACUAUUAAUAGCUUAAAAUUGGCCAUGAUGGGAGUAUUUACACCAUGGAAAUAAGCAAAUGCUUCAAAUCAGGGCUUCUCCCUCACCAAAUUUUCCAAAUUUAUCUGCUUACUGCUUGUUACAGUUCUUAACCCCAAGCUUUUUUUUUCCCUUGGUUUUGUUUUGGUUUUAUUGUUUUAAACUGAGUGCAUUUACAUAAGCAGGCAAGCUCCUUGGUGCCAUAGCCCCUUCACCCAGUUAAUUUUGUCCUUACCCCCAGCCUGGUUCCCACAUGUAUACAGACACCUCUGCCACAAGCCCAGCCCUCUUAGGAAUUUGUGUUUAUCUCUGUGGUUCUGGUUUUCUCUUGUGUGUGAGGGCUGGAACACCUCUUAUGAAUGGUCCAUGACUUUCACUCCUUCCAUUGAUAAGGUUUGCUGUGAAUGUUUUGGUGAAAUCUUUCAAGAACCAUGGCCAUCCCCCUUCUUUUAAAGCCAAAGCAGCACCAGUGCCUGGCAUGGGUUAUGCAGAUGGUUGGCAUCAUCCCCUGCUAGGAUUUACUAUUAUUUGGAAAUUAAUGAUGGCAUCAUCUUUUCAGGAGUGGGGAGGGGAGCUGUGAUUGACGAACCUCUCUUUGACCAUCUGUUCCUUUGCUUCAAGGCGCUGCUUUUCAUAGCCUUAGAAUUUGAGAGAAAUGAUGUUAAGUGAUCACAAAUGUUCUUUAAAGUUUUACUUUAAAGGAAAACAAAAGAAAGCUUUUCAACAAGACGACUAGCUUUUUUUCUGGGGGUCAGUUUACUACAGAUUAUAAGCCAGAAAAUAAAAAAGGUAAAAUGAGAUUUUUGGUUGGAUUUGUUUUUAAUUAAGACCUAAAUCAUGAUUCUCUUAGAAUGGAAUAGAAAGUGAGAGUAGCUCUGAGACCUACUUGAUCAAUUUUGCAGUAUCCCAGCUGCCAGCAGGGAAAUGAGAGGAGGUAGGUGUAGCCAGAAGAAUUCCUUUAUAUCCAGUUGACAAUCACCAGCACCAGUGCAAGUCAGGACAUCUUACUAUUUCUAACCUCCCACCUCCAGAAACAAAGCUGAUUAUAUUUGUCUGUUCCUUCCAGUAGGAAAUUUUAUGAAUUUUGUCCUCAAAAGCUUUCUGAAAAUCCACCUCUCCUCCUAACCAAUUCGAAGGCCUAAAUGCCUUGAAUUUGAGCAAUGCAAAUACAUGAAAAUACAGUUUUAUCCAUGAAGUUAAAGAGGAUACCAGUGAUUCACUUUACACUAGGAUUCUUACAGGAUUUCUUUAAGUAAUAAAUCCCUAUAAUGAAUUCAAAAUGACAUCUGUUGUUCAGGAAUUAAAUGUACACUCCACUUUUCAGGAACAUGUUUAUUUUACCAAACAGGAUACAUACCUGUAUUUAGCAUCCUCUACUUGGGAAGAUUUUCUUAUGUGUAAAUUUUCUGUAUUUAUUUAAAGGCUAUUUUAGCAGAUUAUUUCUUAAGUAGAUAUGGAAAAUCAUUUAUGUUUUUCAGCACUUGUAUCCUUUCUCUUUUGAGAACAUCAGGUACGUGGAGUUGAUUUCAUCAAGUCCCUUGGUUGCUGGCUCACUGUUCUCACUGGGCCAUGCAGGCUCCCUCUCUCGUGCUACUAAGACCCCCUCCUCCUCCCAUCCCCUCCUGCCUCAAUAGGAAACUAGAACCAAGAAAUAUGAUGGGGCAUGCCAUGGGGUUAAGAAUUGCAGUUUUACAUAGGACGGCCUACUUCCAACACAGGCCUGAAGGAGAUGAAGUAGGGAUUCAUGGAGAUGUAUAAGAUGUAUGGGGGAGGAGUAUCCAAGACAGAGGAGAGCAAGUGCAAAGGUCUUAAGGCUAGAAUGCACCUGCCACACUUGCAGAGUGGCACAGAGGCCAGUGUGGUUGAAACAGAGCCAGUGAGGGAGAGAAGUAGAGGUGAGUUGGUUAGAAAGGUCAGAAAGGUCACUUAUAGGCUCUGAUAAGGACUUUGGCUUUUACUCUCAAGAAACCAAUAGAGGGUUUGAAGCCAAAGAAUUACAUGAUUUGACUUACUUUUAAAAGGAACAUUCUGACUCUGUUGUGGGGACACUAGUGUAUGUGAGAACAAGGAAGAUUAGAAGCAGGGGGUCUAGUGACAAGGCUACCUGUGGUGGCCCAGAGGACAGCUGGUGGUGGCUCAGAUUAGCACAGUAGCAGUAGAAGCGUCAGGAGCCUGGGCAUAUUUUUAAGAACCAACAGGAUUUACUGAUGCAUCAUAUGUGGGACACAAAAGUGUGAAGAGCAAAUGGGACGAUGGAGGUGGCCACUUACUGAGAGUGAAGACGGUGGUCUGACCAGAUUUGGCGUGGGCUUAAGGAAUUGGGAUUUAGAAAUGCCAAGUUUGAGAUGCCUAUUAGACAUGCAAGAAGAGACAUUGGAAUAGGAAAAUGGAUAUGCAAGUCUGGAUUUCAAUUUGGGGAAUCAUCUAUAUAUAAUUGAUUUUUAAAAUCAUGAGAUUGGAUGAGAUCAUCAAAGAUGUGAAUAUAAGUAGAAGAAGAAAUGAUCCAAGGACCUGGUCUUACCUCACCUCACUCUGGCCUUCUUUAUAUGGAGUAUAUAUCAUUAUCUGACAUGAUCACAUACAUGAAUUUGCUUAUCAGUUUGAUGUCUUUCUUUCCAAACUCAAGGCAAGAUCAUGCCAGUGGGGGCUGUGUUUGUUUUAUACACUGCUUUACCCAGCACCACAACUAUUUCUGAAAUAUGGUGUAGUCAAUAAAUAUUUUUUUAAUUAAUGAAUUUAAAAAUCUUGAGAUAACCCUCAAACUCAGCUUAAUUGACAAUCUCAACCUUCUUACUCCACAGCUUCCAAUAAAUGCUUAUGGGACUUGAAAAAUAAGUAGCAAAAUAUAUGAUUUUUAAUUUACUUUCCUAAUCAUUUCCCAGAAGGACAUGAAAAUAGUAGAAUUAUCUAAACACAAUAAAAAGGGAGAAAGCGGAAGAGGUGCUAAAGACAUAUUUUCAAGAACCAACAAGAUUUACUGAUGGAUUGUAUAUGAGAUAUAAAUGAGCAUGAAAAACAAAGAAUAGAGGUGGCCAUUUAUCAACAGAAUGAAGACUGUGGUACAAGAUGAUUUGGAUCGUGGAGCUGGGGAGUUGACUUAAUUUAGUCUAUGAGCACAAUUGCAAGUACAUUGUGCCCAAGGCCGUGUGCUGAGCAUAAGGAAUGGAGAGUAGAAGAAGACAUAGCCCCUAUCCUCAAGAACUUAUGAUUGGGAAGGAAUGAUAGAAAACACAGCAGAAGAAACUGAAGCCUACAGAAAAGCUUAUUGAAGGCCAUGCAAAUAAUAAUUGGUGAGGAUGGAUUUGAACCCAGAUCUGAUAGGCUCUAAUCUGUGUAUACCACAUUGUUCUGGCUCUUUCAAGGCUUGUGCUAUAGAAUCCCAGAACUAGAGAUGAACUGAGAGGUCAGGCAGGCUAAGCUUCUCAUUAAAGAAAUGUUCAUCCAACUUCUA